UAAUGAAUAUAUUUUAUUGCAUACCAUUACAACUAUUGGUCUCAUGUUUGGUUCUCCUGAUCGAGUUGAUAAAAAUUUUGAACUUCUGUCGUCAAACGUCACAAAUGCAGGUCUUACCAAUGGAUGAUACUUUUUCAAUGGUAAAAUCUAUAGGGAGAGUGACAUCACUCAACAUUUACCUGGUCUUGAUCUGGUGAGCCUCUUCAAAUAUAUAGUGAAUACUUCUUCCAAACCAGCAAGCAGUUUUCUGUUUAUAAUUGAUGACAUGUCCGUGUCAA